rnacentral:tRNA from 1 species
GGAGAGAUACCCAAGAGGCUGAAGGGUCCGGCUUCGAACACCGGCAGGCGGUAUCCCCGCGCGAGGGUUCAAAUCCCUCUCUCUCCGCCA